rnacentral:rRNA from 1 species
UACGUAGGGGGCUAGCGUUGUCCGGAUUUAUUGGGCGUAAAGAGCGUGUAGGCGGCCAGGUAGGUCUGCUGUGAAAACUCGAGGCUCAACCGCGGUAGGUCGUUGGAAACUGCCUCGCUAGAGUCCGGAAGAGGAGAGCGGAAUUCCUGGUGUGGCGGUGGAAUGCGCAGAUAUAGGGAAGAACACCAAUAAAGGCGAAGGCAGUUAACUAUUCUAUUCCUGACAUUGAGGCAUGAAAGCGUGGGGAGCAAAACGG